rnacentral:rRNA from 1 species
UGGGGAAUAUUGGACAAUGGGCGAAAGCCUGAUCCAGCCAUGCCGCGUGGGUGAAGAAGGUCUUCGGAUUGUAAAGCACUUUACGUUGGGAGGAAGGGCAUUAACCUAAUACGUUAGUGUUUUGACGUUACCGACAGAAUAAGCACCGGCUAACCCUGUGCCAGCAGCCGCGGUAAUACAGAGGGUGCAAGCGUUAAUCGGAAUUACUGGGCGUAAAGCGCGCGUAGGUGGUUUGUUAAGUUGGAUGUGAAAUCCCCGGGCUCAACCUGGGAACUGCAUUCAAAACUGACUGACUAGAGUAUGGUAGAGGGUGGUGGAAUUUCCUGUGUAGCGGUGAAAUGCGUAGAUAUAGGAAGGAACACCAGUGGCGAAGGCGACCACCUGGACUAAUACUGACACUGAGGUGCGAAAGCGUGGGGAGCAAACA